UACGUAGGCAGCGAGCGUUGUUCGGAAUUACUGGGCGUAAAGAGUGUGUAGGCGGUGCUCUAAGUUCGGUGUGAAAUCUCCUGGCUCAACUGGGAGGGUGCGCCGGAAACUGGAGUGCUUGAGCGUGGAGAGGAAAGCGGAAUCCUGGUGUAGCGGUGGAAGUGCGCAGAUAGUCGGGAGGAACACCUGUGGCGAAAGCGGCUCACUGGACCACAACUGACGCUGAGGCGCGAAAGCUAGGGGAG
rnacentral:rRNA from 1 species